AAAAUACAGGUAUGUUAUUUUGAGUGUAUCAGACCUUGUUCUGCCUGAUAGGCAAUCAGUGGUUCUAGUCUCAGUGUAGAUUUAUAGAGGGAGAAUUGUCAAGUCCCCAUGACUGACCAGUCCAGGGAGAAAAAAUAGCUCAUCUACAUGGUAGGACUUCAGAUAUUUCAAAUGGGUUGCACAUGCAGCUAGAAUAAACUCUUAAAAUAACUAUAUAUAUAUACAUAUAUAUAUAGUUAUUUGACUUUCCUGNNNNNNNACUUUCCUGUGUAUAUUUCAUCCCUUAUUUCCCAGAGUCAUGUCCAUUUUCCUCUUAAGAAUUAAGAUUAUUUAGAACAGGGGUUAAAAAAAAAAAACAAACAAACCUGAAACAGUGAUCUGAGUUUUUUAAACUUCCAUAUAGACUAUUGGGAGUCCAGGCAAUGAAAGGAUGUGAACACAGAAUUUAUGGAAUUGCUAUGUACUAAAAAGGUAAUAGAGGGACUCAGUUAUGUAGAAACUACAAGGUAGUCGCCGAUCCUGGGAAGAAAGAGGGAAGAGACAUUGGCCAUAACACUUGUAGAAAAAUCAAGAGAAAUAGAAUCGAAGAGAACCAGAAGAAGGGUUUCAUUAGCAAAGGGGGAAAUUCUCAGUACCGUGUGAAAGUUAAGACACUGACUAGAAGCCAGGGCAAUGUGUCCAAAGUCUUCAUUCCCAUUUGAAGAAGUCCCACACUUUACAUGGUAAAGAAGAAACUGUAUCUGACAAUCUUGUCAAUGUGGCCUGUGAGCCUUUCAUUAAUAAUGGCUUGAUUAUAAUAAUGUAACCUACAGGUAAUCUAAUCAUCUGUAGAUUAUCCAAUGGAAGGACACAUUUCUGUUCUAAAAUGUGAGGCUGCUGCUCAGGCUGUCUGAGGCUGUCUGAACAGUUGGAGCAUAGCUUUUUAUAAAGACUUGAGACACUCAAAAUACUCCAAACAUAUAGGGUUGAUCCUUAUUGCUAAAAGGACCAGUGGGAGUAUGCAAGGCAGGGGGUAUAGAGGGGACACCAACACAGGCUUUUGGGUGGGAUCUAUCCCAACUCUGAGCUCAUAUUGAGCAUGUAUUAAUAAGUUUUUUUAAAGUCUCAAGGAAAGGAAAGCUGAGAAUAUCAGCUUUUUGAAGGUGUUGAUUCAUUUAAAUGACAUAAUUUGUGAGUAAGGGCUGUCUAAGUUAUUGGGUUAUUGUAUGUGUGUAUAAAGAAUACAGAAUGCCUAAGAAUUGAUGCCUUCAAACUGUGGUGCUGGAGACUUCUCAGAGUCCCUUGGACAGCAAGGAGAUCANNNNNNNNNNNNNNNNNNNNNNNNNNNNNNNNNNNNNNNNNNNNNNNNNNNNUGCUGAAGCUGAAGCUCUAGUAUUUUGAUUAUCUGAUGUGAAUAGACUACUCAUUGGAAAAUCUCUGAUGCUGGGAAAGAUUGAG
rnacentral:lncRNA from 1 species